GACCUAUGUUCCAAUAAAAUUAUAAUUGUUGUUCGCUUGUGUUUGUGUUUUAUUUCAGUCAGAUAAAGUCAGUCAGUUUUCUGUGAUUUGUUGGUUUACCAGCACUGGGUGCAUAGUUAUGACACCAUAUUAAGAAGAAAGUUAAAGCCUCCUCACACAUAGACGAAUCCAUAUGACGAAGCUUGGCGAAAAGGGUGUGGAGGGGGCUGUCAAUAUCUCAACAACAUAUUCUUCACAUAUAACACGACACACGUCUCUGACCACUACAGAGAGGGUAUUCUCAGCGACCUUCCAGGAAUACUGCAUGUCUGAGUACUGGACACCAGAAACCAGGUGACUUAGUGUGGCAGCUUACUUUAGCCCUGGAUCCAAGGGCUCCCUGUGUGUUGCUUCACGAGGCGAUGACGAACCCUUCCCAAAAUUUCAUCGUACAUUUCAGUAGGCAUGCGGAGGAAUUUCUUAAAUGUUCCAGGAUCUUCUCUUCUAAGCUCAACCAUGAGCUGAUCGUAGAUGCCAAGUUUGCGCCGUCUCCCGGAAUGCAGCCAUGGUCUUCUCCAGAUACGUGCUCUGGCUCCUCUUCUCCACCUUAAUCGGCCUAUGAGAAACCGGUGUAUGUUAAGUUGUUGCUGGACUACUUCUUGAUUGGCCAUAGCAGCAACAUACUGCAGUUUCAGGCGUUGUAUAUCUUCGAUUUUGACGAAGAAAUAAUGAUACUUCAACAUUACAUAUAUGAAAUAUAGGCAUAUGUCUGCACAAACUACUAAAACAAUUAGGAGCGCUUUUAUUCAGAUGGAUUCGCAUAGAUUCGCUCAUCGUGGUUACCUUUCGGAUUGAUUCGUAUACGUUCGUUUUCUGAACGUUAACUUAUCGUUAUAAAUCGCGUAAAUGCGUCGGAUUCAAUUCGCUACAAAACGCAAAUCCUCGCUAUAGUUCGCAAAAGUUCGCAAGCUAUCGCAAAGAUUCGUUUUCGGAUCGCCCUCUUUCGCUUGAUAUGCAAAUCAAGUAAUCACGAUAUGCAAAUUAGCUGAGAGCUGCGACCUCUAACGCCAGUUGACGAACGCUAUGCGAAGACUUUCCGAUCGGCUAACGUAUUGAAACGAAUUUUAACGAACGAUAGACGAAACUUUUAUUCGCCAACAAUUUUUCAACAUGUUUUAAAUUUUCGACAAACAGAACUAAUCGCAACGGACGCAAAAGCUCACAAACGCAUCCAUACGAACAUCACCAACGAUGUGCAACGUACAUAUAAUAAUGAGAACGAAUUUUGCUGAAGUCUUAUUCGCCAGUACACGCAAGUUGACGUCGGGAAACUUUCGCCUAUGUGUGAGGAGGCCUUUACUGGUUUUUAUUUCAUAUUAAUAUUCGCUCUAUAUCUCGACUUAACUCGGUGCGAAAUUUCUUAGCGGGAUGACCUAAUUAGGGCUCCAUUAAGAAAAUUUGCGGGGAGUAAAGACGAGAUAUAAAGCGAAUUUAAAUACGAAAUAAACGCUAAUCACCUUUUUACUGAUAUGGCUGGAAAGUGAGCGUCAUUUAAUAAAUAAAGAGAAGUAAUAAAGGGUAAAAAACGGCGAAAAAUAACAGUCUCGGUCUGGACGUCGCCAUCUUGACUAUCACGUGAUUACCCCCUCUGACGUGACUAAAAUACAUCCGCAUCGUUUUGUCGCAAGAAAGGAACGCAAACGCGUUGCUAAUGUAAUAGGUACAUAACUCAGAAAUAAAUGGAUCACUGAGUGUCUAUUGCAUCUUUCACAUCCAUACAUAAUGGUGAUGGUAUACUUAAGUUUAAAUGCGAUUGCUUGAGAACGGAGAAAUAAGGAAGAUAUUUACUCCACAAAAUUAGAACGUGUAUUGCUUCAACAUAAACCAGAGCGAAUUCAAGACCAUGAACUCGAACGUGUGGAUUGCUGGAUAUGAAAGCAGUGACUUAUAAUGUGCAGUUUAUGGUGAUGGCAUAUUUCGAGUUUCAAUUUAAUCGCUUCAGUAAUGAAGAACUAUUAAUAUCCACAAACUUGUCAUGCGGACCGAUCGACAACCCUGCUAAGUCCUACCGACAGACCGACUACAGUACAUCUUUAGUUAAACAGUAACCUACCGACCGACCGACUACAGUGCAUCCUCAGUUAAACAAUAACCUACCAACAAACCGACUACA